GUUGUUGUGGCCGAGUGGUUAAGGCGAUGGACUUGAAAUCCUUUGGGGUUUCCCUGUGCAGGUUUAAACCCUGCCAACAACG